AGGAGGUAAAGUGACGUAAACUCCCGCUCCCGCUCGGAAUCUUUCAUUCCAAAAUCACUGACAGCUAUGGAGGAAAAAUUAAUUGUUGCUGUUAGCAGUCACCCGGAAUUGUACGAUUCCAGUUCAUAUUUUUACAGAGACAGGAACAAAAAGGACCUCGCUUGGAAGAGGGUCAGUGAGGAGAUUGGGCAACCUGGGGACUUUUGCAGAAAAUGUGGAAGAGCCUCAGGGACACAUAUCUGAAGGAGAAGAGGAAGGAGAUGGACAAGAGGAGUGGGUCAGCAGCAGGGUCUGGGAAGAGGUGGAAGUAUUCUCAGAUCUUGGGAUUCCUCGACCCCUUCGUCACCCCACGGGAGACUAGUGGUAACAUGGAGGGGGUCGAGGCCCGGAUCAGAGAGGACAACCACCUCGAGGACCAGGGACAGCCUGGAGAAACGGCGUGGGAGACAGAGACUGAGGAAAAUGAUCAGAGGGGGAAGAGGAUAUUUUGAGAUCCCUUGCCUCUUCUCCUGUCUCCCCAGUCCCUGGUCCCUCAGCCCCUGCUGCUGAACUCACAGGCCAACAGAGGAGGAGAGCCCGACGGCGGCCCCGUGAGCGGUCCCAGGAUGGUCCGUCGGAGGUGGAGCAGACGCUGUUGGAGCUUCUGACACAACCUCUGGCGCGACCUCCAACCCCACCGCCACGCUCCGCUGAUGAGUACUUCCUCCUCAGCCUUCUGCCUUUUCUGCAGAGCAUGCCGCCUCAUUUAAAAGAAAAAGUUAAAUUUCAAAUAUACAAAUUGGCAAUGGAAAAUAGCACCAUUGUGCUAAAUUUGGAACAAUUGGACCCCCCACACAGUAAACUUUAAAAAAAAAAAAAAGAGGCGGCAGGCUCUGCAGGAAACGCAGAAUGCCCUCCUUCCUCUUCUCCUAUGCCGUUCCCUGUGGCUCUUCCACCUUCCAAGCGAGGUCCUUUUUGUUCCUGUCUCUUAAUGUAAAUAGUUUGCACAUAUUGUUCAUUUUUUUCAGUUCAUAUUGUUAUUUUAUAUGUUUUGCCUAAAUAAUUUUUUUUACGUUUUGCCUAAAUAUGUUUUUUAAUGUUAUACCUAAAAUUACUUCAUAUGUUUGGCCUCAAUAAAUUAUUUUGUAAUAUGACUAAAUGCCUGGUGUGGUUCUAAUGCACAAACAAAGCAAAUCUUUUAUCACAUAACUUGAUUUCAAUAUAUGAGACAUUUUGAUUUUGUAUUGAUUGCUAUUUAUUCCAUAUCUAAAUCUAGAUUAUAUGAAACAUUAUUAUUGUAAUGUAAAGACAACCAACAUUAGU